AUUGUUUCUCUAGGGAAUUAGAGGAGAUUAAAAUCGCCUCAAAUUGCCUGGCAGGCCUGUAAAGCCACUUUAUGUAAAAUACCACUGGGGAAAAACAAACAUUACAUUGUUUGCUGGCUUUUGGAUGUUUUCUAUUUAUCUUGCAAGAAUAACGCUAGCAAUGAGAGUGGAUUGUGAUACCCCUCCAAUUUUCAUGACAAAGCCUCAGGAAGAAAGGAAAUUUAUUACAUUCUUAUAUACUUUUGCGGAUAAUGUAGAGGGGUUUUUUGUCAUUAAAAUGGCUUUUAAAUGGCAGCACCAUUAAAUGUUUUUUUUUUUUUUUUUCCUUCUCAGCUGAGUGAAGAGCUCUUCUGUGUUGGACCCUGGCUGCCCCUGGAUAGUUAAUAACAAAAUGAAGCCAAAACACAGCUCUGUGGUCAGAGUCAGGAACCUGUGACUAAAAACUUACUUCCUGCACGCCAGCUGCACGGACCGGUUAUUUAAAUAUACCACAAGCACAACAACUUAAAAUCCUUGUGAAUUCUGUUUCUUUCCUCCUUGUCGUUUAGGAGAGAAACCUUGCAAAUAUAGGUCCAAAGAGAGCAUCACAUCUUCCCUGUGAUGGAGGCCUGGAAGGAGUUCUGGAGAAAUGUUCAUUCCUGGCGUGACUAACGGUGGGAGCGGCCUCGUGGCUUUCCUGAACGUGAACCUUCUCCAAGAUGCUGGGGGACAACACCCUGCAAUUUACGGAACCGGACAGAGCCAAGCUGUCUCCGGGUGGUUCGGGGAAGAGGCAGCAAUCAAGUAAAAUUGCACAUCGGACUUUCUGGGGCCCCUGCCCCCCCUCCCGGGAGACUGCCCAGGACGAACCAUGUCUGCAGAGGAACGCGUGACGAGCCUCUUCCAGGCCACAUGGAAAGAGCACGUGGCCUUCUCUCCUGAGUUGCUGUGCACCAGGCCGCUCUCACCAACAGGUCAGAUGGCGGCUUCCUGGCAACAGAGGAACUGAGUUCCCACCUUGCUUUCCCUCUUCAUUUAUUCAGGACUGUCUUCAUGACCGGUCUCUCAUCAGGCCACAGAGCCUUCAGGAUGGAGGAGCCACAGAACGUCGUGAAGAAAGCAUUCAUUCCAGCACGGGGAGCUUGGCCCCAUCUCCGUUCCUCCGUUUGAAGCAGAGCCACCUAACUAUGGUUGUGUUUGAAGUGAAGUCGUGAUCGGGCCGAUUUUCCACAAACUAUCGCUUCCAUAGAUCAGCCUAUUAUUUCAUAUAUUUUCUUUGCUUCUCCAAUGAUCUGCAGUUAAGGAUCAUGUUUCUUUCAGUCUGUGAUCACAUUUUUAGUGAAAUAAAAUAGACAUUCAAAAUACAAGCCAACUUUCUCAAUUAUUAGAGCCAACAGAUAUUAAAUGACUCUGUUUGCUUUGCUGUGAAAGUUGUAAACCCUUACCGCCAAGUUCUGUCCUCAUGUGGUGCUCGCACCGAGUGUCAUGGUUCUAGAGAAAGGUUUGCCUCUCAGAGGGUGUCUCUGUGUGUUUGCACCUGUGUGUAAUGUUUAGAAUCUUCCACGUACGCUUUUUCAUGAUUAGGAGACUCGGCUCACAUCCUGACAAGUUGGAUGGGAGAACUGACCCAAAUGAGCUGUUUGCACAACACAUAUUUGCCCUGAAACUUCUGUCCAGGCUUUGCUUUAUUUCUAUCAUUAAACCUGAUUUAUCUUUCUUCUUUGUUGUUUUUGAUUACAACAAUUAGUUUUACAUAGCGCUCGGUUUGCUCUCUGGCUUACUAGAGGGGGUGUUCAUGUGUGUAACAAGUGUGGGCUUGGGGGCUUUGGUCCCAGAGCCGGGUCAUGAGCGCUACGCCACUCACCACCGAUGACGUCAUCUCCCUGUUAUCGGACUGCUUUGGAAAAUAUUCGGUAACUCCACGAAGGCCAUGUGGUGCCCAGAGGCAGACUGUGUAUUUUCUGCCCACAAAUGUCCUGCCCGUGCAUGACACUGUGGCGUCCUCCGGAAAGGUGAAUGCCACCUCGCUGUUACCAUGGUUUUAUGUUACCAUACGUCUUCUUUCCUUUCCCUCUUACUCACCAUAUUUGUUCCAACAAAUAUUUUUUGAGUUCUCUCUAGUGUUAGACACAUAGUAAGGAUGGAGCCAGUUAGACUCUUGAAAAACUUAAGCAAAAAAAAAAAAAAAAUAAGGAAGUGAUCGGAAGGCUACUGAGUCGCCUGCAAUGCCGCGAGGAGUCUAGAGAGCGUGGUGUGGGAAGGGGAGCGGAGCAAGGGACCAGGUGUGGCCAAAGUCACAAUGGGGUGUCACCUAAAGCCACCAGUACCAAGGCCCCAGGGGGCUGCUCACUGCCCGACUCCGUCGAGGCCACCAUGUGCUCCGAGUCGCCCCCCUCACCCCGAAAUCAUAUCCAGGCAGAAGCUUCCGAGUGCGAGGCAUAGGUCCUGCACCAGCUGCAAGCAGCUGGGGACCCAGCGUUUCGAGGGGAGGCAGCAGGUGGAUCCAGAGCAGAAGGGCAGGCUACUGGGACCCGCUGGAUGUCUCCUGUCUGGGGGCAUCACACUGGGAGGUUAGGAGGGCCGGGCACACCGGGCUUCCUGUGUGCUGGAGGGAGACGGAGCCUCAUCCUCCACGACACUGACACCCCGGGCUGGAGGGGCUCCGCGGUGGGGCGGGGGAGGGGUUGUCAUGGGCGGUGCAGGGUGUGGAGGGCAUCCCCGGCUUCAGCCCGUAGCACGCCCCAAGUGGCGGGCAUCCCCGAAUCAAACCAUCUGCACCCCCGCUUUUGUGAGGCUAUCCAUUCCCGAGGCCACUGCAGAGUGGCCGAGGCCGGCGCUCUGGCAUAUGGGGUUGGACGGGUCUUCUGAACCAUUCGCCCAGACGCUUCUCACGCACGGUGCGCCCUGGCUGCCUCGGGAGGAUUUGUAAGGGGUGGAGAGUGACUAGCUCUGCCUUUUCAGAGGCACGGCCGGUCCGGUGGAGGUACAGCAAGUGGGAGGCUGGGGCGAAGCCGGGGUGGACAGGCCGAGGGCCAGGAUGCAGGCAGCUGGGCACACGGAGCAGUGACAGAGGUGGGGUCAGGCCUCACAGGCCUGUGACUGGUUGUCACUCCAGGGAAAACGUAUCAGAGCCGGCUCUUAGAUCCGGAGGUUGGCGCAACACGGCUCAAGAUACGGGACGUAGGGAGGCGAAUCUCCGGAGAGGAGACCGGGCAGGUUUGCGGCCCUGUGAUUUCGCGGGCUGCCGGGCCUCUUGUUGGAUAGGAUGUGGAGUUGGGACAGGGGUCAGGGUGCAGAUAGGGACAUGGAGCCAUCGGCAACCCGGGGCAGCUGCGGAAGGAGCGGCUGAGACCCCCCGAGUAAGGCAUAGGACAAGAACCAAAGGGCCACAGAGAGCUUGCAAGACGGAGGCAGUGAGACAGGGAGGAGAGUCGCCAUUGGCUGGGGGCGGAGGGACGGGCCAGCGGGCUCACGGGCUCAUAGGCUCAUGUUCGGCAGGUGAUCAGUGGCCCUCACAGGAGCGGUUUCGGUGGAAAUCAGGUCACAGCGGUGGCAAGGCGAUGGGAACAAAUGCCAUCUUUAGAGAGAAUAAGGUGGUUGACGGUGGCCGGGGCCCUGCAGAGGCAAAUGAGGAUUCCGUCUGCUUCGCAGCUUUCUGAGGUGUCCUUGACAUGCAAUGAGCCGCACAUACAUAAACCCAUGUACGUUGUAAGUUUGGCCUGUGUAUCCACCUGUGAAGCCAUCACCAUAUCCAAAAUAGUGGACGAGCCCAUCCGCCCCCAAAUGUCCUGGUCCCUUUGUAUAUUCCGGCCCCCACCCCCGGCCUUUUCUGCCUCUUCCCUUUCCUCCUCAGCCAGAAGCAACCACUGAUCUGUUAGGCUGGGUCUUCUAGAAGUCUCUGCAGGCGACUCUCCACUAUGCAUAUGCCUUUGGGUCUGUCUUCUUUUCCUCUGCGAGAAUCAGCCUUAUGGCAGGUGCAGCGCGUGUGCAGAACCUACUCUUCUCUGCUGCCGGGCUGCGUCCCAUCGCAUGGCUCCACUACACUCCGUGGACGUCGGGGCUGUUUCCAGCUUUGGGCUCUCGCAAAUGAGGCUGCCGUAUGCACGCCUACACAAGACUGUGUGUGCACGUAUCGCUCGUCUUGGGUAAACCCCUAGGCACGGAAAUGGGGUCCUUGGUAAACGCAUGAUUACCUGUUGGAGAAACGGUGAAACUGGCCUCCCAAGUGCUCACGCUGUUUGACAUCUCACUGUCACCGGAUGGGGCUCUAGCCGCUCCCCGCCCUGCCCACGCUCGCCGUGGUCACGUGCUGAAUUCGCGCUCUUCCUGCAGGUCCGUGGGGGAGCUCACUGCGGUUCUGAUUUUCUCCCCUCUAAUGAUGGAUACCGUGAGCACCAUCUUUAUCCCCAUACCGUCUCUGGCGCACUCUCUGUUCUCGUCUUUGCCCAUUUUUAAGAUUGGUUGUUUCCUAUUAUUCCCAUUCUAGUCUAAAAGGGUCCCUUGAACUCACCGAAAAGGGGCUAAAUAUUUGAUGGAAAAAAACAGAACGGAUUUAGAGCACACUAGGUUUUGCUGUAGGGUGUGGUUUUCUUAAGUUUCUGCGGGGCGCCUGGGUGGCUCCGUCGUUGAGCGUCUGCCUUCGGCUCAGGUCAGGGUCCCGGGGUCCUGGGAUCGAGCCCCGCGUCGGGCUCCCUGCUCGGCGGGAACCCCCUCUCCCGCUCCCCCUGCCUGUGUUCCCGCUCUCGCUGUGUCUCUCUCUGUCAAAGAAAUAAUAAAAUCUUUAAAAGAACCAGCCGAUUUCCUUCGCCUUCACCACUUCUGCCCCUGAGCAUUUCAGUUUACUUCCCUCGGCGACCGGAAGCUCCAGUGCGGAGGCACGGAGGGGAGGAAGCGGGUCUGCCCGGAAGGGCCGCGUUCUCGCCGAGAGCGCCGGCGUCCGCCUCCUCCGUGCGCGGGGCCAGCCCCGUGCCCCCUCGUGGCCUUGUCGCUCGCCCCUGAGCUGUGGCUGCCCCUCCUGAGCCUGCUGCCCACUCCUGAGACGGGGCUCAGGCGCUCACCAAGGGGGCGGGAGCGUCCGUCGGCUCUGGCCGCCCCGCCCCGUCCCCUGGACCGGAGCCGCCCGUAGCCGCUGCGAAGACACGGGUCCCGCCUGCCGGCGCAGCGAACCACUCAGCCCGGGGCGGGCGGCCCGGGGGGCUGCCGGGGGCUUGUGCGUCCCCGGGCUCGGCGGCUGCAGGGGCGCAUGCCCCGAGCCGCGGUUCCCGGAGGCCCCGCCGCGCGGAACGACAAGCGCCCGCAGGGCGCCCGAGGCGGGGGCGCGCAGACCGCCAGAGCCACGCAGCGCGGGGGCCCGCUCCGCGCAGAAGCCCGGGCUUCCGCCGUGAGAGCGACGUCUGCGUUGGCUCGAGCGCCUCGUCUGCCGGCGAGAGUGGAGUUUACAUCAUUUAAAUACUUCCUAUUUUCAUACUUCGGUGCUUUGGAGUCUAGGGGAUCCGCGGCGUGGAUCGGGGCGCGCCCACGGCCACCGCAGAAUUACUCAUCGGGGAAAAACACUCCGCAAAGAAGCGUGAUCACUCCAAAAGAGCGUGAGAUUUAUUCCAAACUUCGAAAACCUUGUUCGGCGCCCUCGGGCAUUUUCCUCCGUCCGCCCUCCCCCGCUGCUCUCCUUCCUCUUCCCUCUUCCCCCCGUUCACCCCCGAGGCCGAGCGCGUCUCCCGGCGGCCGUCCGCCAUCUUUCUCUCCAGCCCCUGCCGGAGGCGGGCUUCGAGGCCCGGGCCGUCCGCGUGGCCGCCUUCCGUGCGGGGCUCACCCCAGCGCCGGGGCUCCGCGCGCGCGUCCGGCCUGGCCUCGCCCUGCCCUGGGAGCGGGGCGCAGCGGGGGAAGGGCCGGGGGCAUCCUCGGAGGCGGACGGCAUCCCACGACACGAAAACAGAGGUUGGGCAGCUGAGCCAGGGCCUGCUGAAUUUGGGGGCAACAAACAAAAUCGCCAACAAUGCCAUCUUUCUUCGGGAGAACAAGGCUCUCCAAUGAGUUCGAGCGGCAGCUGCAUGGCACUGACCUCACUUUUCGGGGGGCGGGGUCUGAAGGAGAGGUGACCCUGCCAGGCCGGCCGCCGGCCGGAAGUCAACGCGGCGCCUGCCGGAAAUGGAGCCAAGGGGCGCCCCCUGCAAGUGUCGUCAGCUUUUAAGGUGGGCACUGGAGAGUGGUGUGGAAAGCCCGCGCCUAAGGACCCUCGGGGGGAAGAGAGAGCAAGCGCUAAGUGCUCCGACGCCAGUGGUGCGCCCCACACGCGCCGCUCGCAUCCCCCUCGCGCUCGUCCCUUCCCUCUCCACUCUCCCUCUUCUGUCACACGCACACACCCCCUCACGUUCUCUCACACACCCUGUCACACACACUCACGCAUACUCACACGCUCUUACACGUCCACACACUCACACUCACACACCCUCACAUUCUCACACACCCUGCCACACACACUUACGCACGCAUACUCACACGCUCUUACACGUCCACACACUCACACACACCCUCACAUUCUCACACACCCUGUCACACAUUUUCUCAUGCACGUAUACUCACUCUUACACACUUUCACACCCACAUGCACACACUCACACUCAUUCACAUAGAUCCCUCACAUUCUCUCACACACAUUCACACCUCACACACACACACCCUGUCACUAAUUCUCACGGUUACACACUCACUUUCACACACAUUCACCCCCACACCCUCAUAUACUCUCAUGCACACUCACACACCCACAAACUCUCACACCCUCACUCUUACACUCACAUGCUCAUGCUCUUCCACACUCACACUCGUUCUCUCACUCUCACACAGAGUCACAUACUCUCACACACACUCACAAACUCUCACACCCUCUCACUACCACACACACACUCUCACACAGACUUUCACACACACACACACACACACACGGCUGCCAUUUCCCUCCCUGAGUUUUGACAGUAGCAGGCUGCCUGGCAGGAACUGGGUCUGCAGUUUGCAAUGUCCUCUGAUGCAAAAGUGACCUUGGUGGCACGGUUUCCUCCUGCUGGGAGCGUUGUGUGCUGUGGACAGUGCCGUGUGCAGGAAGUUAGUUUGCAGAGGUUUCGGAAAGUGGAAUACUGGCAUACAGCCCUGGGCCUCGGAGCUCUGGACUCCGCUGCCACGGAAACCCCCAGGGAGUCUGCAAGUUCGUGGCACUCUCCCAACUCAGAGUCAGAGCCAGACGCCACAGAAGAGAAAGUAGUGAAGUGAGACCUGAAACUCUCUUAGAUUGCAGCUCUUAGGACACAAACACACACACACACACACACGAGUCACACAAUUUCCAACAUUCCCAUGCAUAAUAACCACUAUUGUAAAAAGAUGACUCUACUAUUCCAUGAACUUAGCUCCUAAACCUUAAAAUUUAUAAAUUACAUACUCAAAUUUUUUUCAAAGAUACUAAUUACAGGGAUACAAGGAAGUAUUUAGCAUUCAGUCACAUAGAAAAAUAGCAUAAUACUUAGAAUGGUUUUGAAAAAGUCAUGGGAAUAAGAGCCUAUGGAAUAUAGGGAAUGGUAUUGAGAUAGUGCUCUGUGGCGACAGAGGGUUGUGGUGAGCGGAGCAUAAUGUGUAGAUGUGUCGAAUCACUAUCUGCGCACCUGAAACUAAUGUAAACAUCGUGUGUCAACUACACUCAAAUAAAAAGAAAAUUUAAACUUAAAAAAAAUCAAGUAAAAACUGAGGAUAAAACAAAACAAAACAAAACUAGGGGUGCCUG